CUGUGACACAGCACCAAGAUGGAUGGCUCCAGGAGCAACCGAUUACACCUGAGAAAACUCAGCAGGCUCGAGACCAUGCGAAAUACGGGAAUCUCUGACCUUGUGUGUUUUGUGCAUUUUUCUGUCAGCCGAUGCUAAAUCCACAUUAGUGAACAGCAACGAGGGAAGAGGCUGGCUGGCAAAGGUCAGGACUCCCACUGAUCUGGCUGUGCCCUUGCCUGCGAGUUUGACAGUGUUGUCGGAGCCCUUCGAGCCCUUCUGUUUCCCUUUGGCGGCUGCUGCGGUCCAGCCCUGAGGAGGAGACCUUGCUAGCUGAGCUGGAACACGGUCGUAUUGUAACGCUGCUGACUCAGCUAGUUUGCAAGGGUCAGCUUGGAACCCAGCCUACCUGCUAAUUUUUCCUUCGAUGUCUGGGGAGUCGGAGCAUGGGGACAGACCAUCUGUCAUGCCCGAAUCAGAAGACAUACUUUAAAAGUUUGCUCGGAAAUUAAAACGUUCACAGGCUAGGGGUCAAACCUCGGACUCUCUUACACUUGAGUAACCCCAUAUGGAUUGGCAUUGGCAGGAACCAGCAACCUCUAGGGCACGCAGACAUGCUGCAUUACACAUCUGAAAUGCAUGGCCAUGCAUGAAGAUUGCCAGAGUCAGGCAGAAACAGCUGCAAAAAGCAGCACCAGGUUUUGAUGGAAUACGUGCUGACUCCCACUGGAGGGGAAACAACACCCAUGGGGAGGAGGGAGGGCUGCCCUUCAGGUGACCUAGCUUCCUAUGGUCAAAUGAUCGCUUCCCUUGCCAGCUUUCGGCAGAAAAAAAAAAAAAAAAAAAAAAAAAAAAGCUUUUUGGCCUUAGCAAAACAAGGCCACAAAACCUAGGUCCCAGGGGUACCUGCAGGGAUUUCACGUGCUGGGAUGAAGUGAUUCCAGUGACCGACAGAGGCAUCAGGACACAAGCUGCAUGGGGGGAGAAAUUAUUUCUGAGAGCACACCAGAACUUGCCCACCACUUGGAUUUGGGGCUUCUAGCCCUGCUCUUACACUGCAAACCCAGGAACUGUCAAGCUGUGGGGCGGUUCCCAAGAGAAAUUUGUGUGCUGAUUUUUUUCUACUAUAGGUCUUGGAUGUCCACAAGGGGGUUAAUUAGGGAUCAAAUCACUGUUCUGCUCCACCUACAGAAGUUGCUGGAUGCAGAGAGCAAUAAAAGCUCAGCUGUGACUUGAUCAUGAAGGACUGCUGCUUUAUGUGGUGGUGGUAGGAAAACGUGGCUGGGAGGAGGUGUUUUACUAGCCAGGUGGGGCCCUGCUGUGAAGCCUGCCCCGAUGACUGGGAAGCAGGGCAGCACUGAAGUUGUCCAGCAGGCGCCGUGAAGUUGUUCUCCAUCCCCUGUACUUGCUUCCUGCAUCCAGCACCUCUUCCUGCCUCUGCGUGCUUAGGUUUCUCUGUCUCUGCAUUGCCAUCUACCGGUGAGAUCGCCAAGAGACCACCGACCAUGACCCAUGAGGACCACACCAACCUCCAGCGACCCGCCUGAAGGUCCCUGGCUGCUGGAGCAUGUAGGGCGCUGCAGCUUUCCUGCGUGGUGCAGGGCAUGUUCUCCUCGGACAGAGGCUACUGCAAAGGCAAACGCCCCUCAGUCAGCUGCUGAGCAUGCUUGUGGAGUGUGAGGUGGCUGGUGUGUGACUUGAACGCUGUUGUUCUGCUUCUGGGAUGGGGCUGAGUGUAAAAGAGAAGACCGAAGAAAGCCUGAAGUGGUCUGGGUGAAUGUCGAUGUCAGGGCUUUAAGGAUUGAGUUCAUCUCUGCCUCCCGUUAAGUUUUAUUCUGCAAUAAGGGCAUUGCUGUUGUCGAAGUGGCAUGAGGGCUGGCUUCUAUCAAAGACAUUAAUUUUGGCUGACAUGAAUGCAAUAGGUUAAACAAAAACAAAAACACAGUUUAAAAUAGGCUUUAAUAGGUUAAAAAAAAAAAAAAGUGGAGGGAAGAAGCUUUAACCCUUCUGUGUCCUUACAGGCUCACUGAAGGGGAGUACAUCCCUUAGCCACUUUUGGAUGUAUAAAUGCCCUUGUCUAGCCUGUGUUCCUACCAGUCCAGCUCUCAAA